CCCUUGUCUUUUGCGUACUUCUUGUUUCCUUGGUGGGUUCGCCCACCACUAGGACAAACAUAAACCUUUUGUAAUUGCAAUCAGCGUCAGUAACAAAUUAAUAAUUACAACUUUCAACAACGGAUCUCUUGGUUCUGGCAUCGAUGAAGAACGCAGCGAAAUGCGAUAAGUAGUGUGAAUUGCAGAAUUCAGUGAAUCAUCGAAUCUUUGAACGCACAUUGCGCCCUUUGGUAUUCCAAAGGGCAUGCCUGUUCGAGCGUCAUUUGUACCCUCAAGCUUUGCUUGGUGUUGGGCGUCUUGUCUCUAGCUUUGCUGGAGACUCGCCUUAAAGUAAUUGGCAGCCGGCCUACUGGUUUCGGAGCGCAGCACAAGUCGCACUCUCUAUCAGCAAAGGUCUAGCAUCCAUUAAGCCUUUUUUUCAACUUUUGACCUCGGAUCAGGUAGGGAUACCCGCUGAACUUAAGCAUAU
rnacentral:rRNA from 1 species